UUUAAUAAUUUAGGAACAGGUGCCGUGAGGCUUAAUAGAGAAGCUGGUCAAGUCCAGCACGGUCACGCCACUGUAAGAGGAGCGAAGCUAUAGCUUUAGCCACUGGAGAAAUCUGGGAAGGUAUAUAGCAGAGCUAUGAAUCAAGUCAGGAGAACUGCCUGUUUAACAAUCACCGU
rnacentral:ncRNA from 1 species